rnacentral:rRNA from 1 species
UACGUAGGGGGCGAGCGUUGUCCGGAGUUACUGGGCGUAAAGCGCGCGCAGGCGGUCUGCUAAGUUUGGAGUGACAGUUGGUGGCUUAACUGCCAAAGUGCUUCGAAAACUGACAGACUUGAGGGCUUCAGAGGGACACGGAAUUCCGGGUGGAGUGGUGAAAUGCGUAGAGAUCCGGAGGAACACCAAAGGCGAAGGCAGUGUCCUGGGGAGUACCUGACGCUGAGACGCGAAAGCGUGGGGAGCGAACAGG